rnacentral:rRNA from 1 species
AUUGAACGCUGGCGGCAGGCCUAACACAUGCAAGUCGAGCGGGGUUUUCGGACCUAGCGGCGGACGGGUGAGUAAUGCGUAGGAAGCUGCCCGAUAGAGGGGGAUACCAGUUGGAAACGACUGUUAAUACCGCAUAAUGUCUACGGACCAAAGUGUGGGACCUUCGGGCCACAUGCUAUCGGAUGCGCCUACGUGGGAUUAGCUAGUUGGUGAGGUAAUGGCUCACCAAGGCGACGAUCUCUAGCUGGUUUGAGAGGAUGAUCAGCCACACUGGAACUGAGACACGGUCCAGACUCCUACGGGAGGCAGCAGUGGGGAAUAUUGGACAAUGGGCGCAAGCCUGAUCCAGCAUGCCGCGUGUGUGAAGAAGGCCUUCGGGUUGUAAAGCACUUUCAGCGAGGAGGAAGGGGUGUGUGUUAAUAGCUGCAACCUUUGACGUUACUCGCAGAAGAAGCACCGGCUAACUCUGUGCCAGCAGCCGCUGUAACAC